UGGGCGUGACUACUGCCAAUGUUUAACCUGGAAGCGUCGAUGCUGAUUGGUCCGAAUUCACGUCAAUCAUUAAGCUAACACAAGCUUGAGUGCGUUGACUGUUAGGGUGUGAUUGAGCGUUCUGUGGUCAUGAUUUGAGCACUGAACCGGUUUGUUAUAAUAAAGUACUCAGUAGUAGUGUAGCUGUGAUCAAAACAGGAGUAUGAAAUGGGCUCGACCAGCUCCGACAUGGCUAAAAUACCAAAUGCGGAGGAUUUAAUGCGAGAAACUGGUUUCACGCAUGCACACCUUGUUCGUCUGUAUGAGCGUUACCAAUCUCUGGACAAAGGCAACAAGGGUCAUCUCAGUGCACAGGACUUUGCAGCCAUAAAGGAGCUGGCCAUGAAUCCUAUAUGUGACAGAAUAAUAGGGGCCUUCUUCUCUUCAGGACAGGAAACCCUGGACUUCCCAUCAUUUGUGAGGAUCUUGGCACAUUUUCGUCCCAUCGAUAAGAACCGUUCCAAAGAGCCCAACUCGCCUGACCCCAUUAACAGCAGAAUCAACAAGCUGAAAUUUGCUUUUCAGUUGUAUGAUCAGGACAAGGACGGCAAGAUUUCCAGACAAGAGCUCUUACAGGUUCUCCAGGCCAUGCUGGAAAGCCAGGUAACUCAAGACCAACUGGAAUGCAUAGUAGACCGCACUAUCCAAGAGGCAGACCUGGACAACGAUGAUGCCAUAUCUUUUGAAGAGUUUCGGAAGUCUCUAGAAAAGGUCGACAUUGACCACAAGAUGAGUAUCCGCUUCCUGCGCUAAAGCAUGACGACCCUUCCAGAAAAGCUGAGAAUUAAGUGUGGUCUUCAGAGCCAGUGGUGAUGGUGACAAUGAAAAAACUCCCUAAGAUGAAAUCAGGAAGAAACCUUGAGAGGAACCAGACUCAGAAGGGAACCUGUCCUCAUCUGGGUAACAACGGAUAGUGGGAAGGUAAAAGAAAGUUUAUUAUGGUUUAUACAUGAAGUCUUUGUUGAACUAGUCCACUGUUCAGUAAAGGAGACCUGAGUGCAAAAGUGCAUGUGGUAAUUCCACAUGGAAAAAAAAAAAUGUUAAAAGGAAUGAUACUAUUAAUUAAAUGAGUGUCUUCAAAUAUUAGCAUCAGAUGGCAUUACAUUUUAAAUUGCAGAUUUUUUUGUGAUGUAAAAAAAAAAUUUAACCAAGACAAAUCAUGUCAGAUCUUUUCCCACCUUUAAUGUGAUUAUAGCAACCAACAAAAUGCAAGUGAAAAACUACUAGAAAUGUUUUAGGAAAGAAAAAGACAAAACUUACAAUAACCUGGUUGCAUAAGUAUGCAUAAAGCACCUUUUGCUUGUGAUACAAAUUUACUCUACCAAAUUAGCACAUCCUCAUUUGGGGAAUUUUAUUUUUAAUACUCUUACUUGCAAAAAUGCUCCAGAUCUAUUAAACGGCGAGGGGAUCUCCUGUACACAGCCCUCUUCAAGACCUUCUACAGGAUUUCAAUAGGAUGUAGAUCUGGACGCUAAAACAUCCAUCAUCUUCUUCUGAAGCUAUUCUUUUGUCGACUUUGAUUUGUGCUUCAGGGUCAUUCUCAUGCUGCAAGGUAAAAGUUAUCUUCAACUGUCUAAUAGAGGUUUGCAGGUUUUGUGCCAAAGUAGACUGGUAUUUGGAGCCAUCCCUGAUUCCCUCUAUCUUGACUAGAGACCCUGUCCCAGCUGAAGAGAAUCAUAAUAACUGCUAUGUCCAUAUUUGGUAUAAGCUUAUCUGCUGAAGACUAAGUCAUUGCAUGUUAUGUUCACGUUUAUACCAUUUUUAAAUUAUAUUGUUACUCUUUGGCACCUAUCUUCUGCACUACCUGUUAUAUCAGACACUUCCACACUAAAACUGUGUAUUGUUUGGCGCUACACUGUCACUUACUGUGCCUAUUGUCCUGUUUUAGUAGUAUUGUACUGUCCUGCGUUGUUAGCACACAUCUGCACAUGCACUUCGUGUAGAAUGUGUAGAUGUUAUUUAGUUCUGUGUCGUCUCAUGUGGUUAGUGUUUUGUUUUAUGUAACAGCAUGGUCCUGGAGGAAUGUUAUUUCGUUUCACUGCGUACUGUACCAGCUGUAUAUGGUUGAAAUGACAAUAAAACCACUUGAACUCAGCGCAAUAGCAGUUACUUUCGAACACAAGUAUGAAUGUGUUUAGUUCAUUCUUAGCACAAUCACAUGCCACAAUUACAAAAGGGUGUGCACAUUUAUGCACUCAGCUUCUUGUAAGGUUUUUUUUCCCCCCCCUUGAAUUUUGUUGGUUGUUAUUCACAAAAAUCUGCAGUUUUAACAGGGGUGUGUAGAUGUUUUAUAUCCACUGUAGUUUUUUGAGUAGAUGUACUGCCCAAUACAUACAGUUUAACAUGACAUUUAUAGUGGUGCUGGACUUAAUUCUGCUCCUGGCUGGUGUGGAAAUCAGAGUUCAAGGUGAGAAUGGCAUGUAAAUGAAAAGCACAUUUGUUUUUUCAACAGUCUCAGCCUGCGUGUGUAAUUCCUGCACAACUCUCUGAAUAACACUUAUAAAAGCAAUAGGCUGUGGUUAAGUCUGUGGUCUGACUAGCAGUGUGUGCAAUUUUGGUAUUAAAUCCUCAUUAUGCACAAUGAACUCAACUUUGAAUACAGAUCUAAAUCCAAAGUUAUCCAUUCACACUUUUCAGUUCAGAAUCUAAAAGGGUGAACGAGUGAUUGUAUAUAAGAGUGGACAACAUGGCACCAUUCAUCCGUCCAUCCAUCUUCUAUACCGCUUAAUCCUUUUCAGGGUCAAGGGGAAACCUGGAGCCUAUCUCAGGGAGCAUCAGGCACGAGGCGAGGUACACCCUGGACAGGGACAACAUGGCACCAUUCACUCCUAUUAUGCAGUUUUAAAGCUUUUUUUUUUCCUUCAAAAUGAGAGCCAUUACUUUGUGAAAAUUGGAGCCAGAGUCUGUGUAGUAGAGACCUUGGAGCUGGAGCAUGCACAGUAGA